rnacentral:rRNA from 1 species
GACGAACGCUGGCUGCGUGCUUAACACAUGCAAGUCGAACGCUGAAGCUCUGGUGCUUGCACCGGGGUGGAUGAGUGGCGAACGGGUGAGUAACACGUGAGUAACCUGCCCCUGACUUCGGGAUAAGCCCGGGAAACUGGGUCUAAUACCGAAUAUGACCGUUCCUCGCAUGAGGAAUGGUGGAAAGUUUUUUCGGUUGGGGAUGGGCUCGCGGCCUAUCAGCUAGAUGGUGGGGUAAUGGCCCACCAUGGCGACGACGGGUAGCCGGCCUGAGAGGGCGACCGGUCACACUGGGACUGAGACACGGCCCAGACUCCUACGGGAGGCAGCAGUGGGGAAUAUUGCACAAUGGGGGAAACCCUGAUGCAGCGACGCAGCGUGCGGGAUGACGGCCUUCGGGUUGUAAACCGCUUUCAGCAGGGAAGAAGCCCCUUGGGGUGACGGUACCUGCAGAAGAAGUACCGGCUAACUACGUGCCAGCAGCCGCGGUAAUACGUAGGGUACGAGCGUUGUCCGGAAUUAUUGGGCGUAAAGAGCUCGUAGGUGGUUGGUCACGUCUGCUGUGGAAACGCAACGCUUAACGUUGCGCGUGCAGUGGGUACGGGCUGACUAGAGUGCAGUAGGGGAGUCUGGAAUUCCUGGUGUAGCGGUGAAAUGCGCAGAUAUCAGGAGGAACACCGGUGGCGAAGGCGGGACUCUGGGCUGUAACUGACACUGAGGAGCGAAAGCAUGGGGAGCGAACAGGAUUAGAUACCCUGGUAGUCCAUGCCGUAAACGUUGGGCACUAGGUGUGGGGGACAUUCCACGUUCUCCGCGCCGUAGCUAACGCAUUAAGUGCCCCGCCUGGGGAGUACGGUCGCAAGGCUAAAACUCAAAGGAAUUGACGGGGGCCCGCACAAGCGGCGGAGCAUGCGGAUUAAUUCGAUGCAACGCGAAGAACCUUACCAAGGCUUGACAUACACCAGACCGGGCUGGAAACAGUCCUUCCCCUUUGGGGUUGGUGUACAGGUGGUGCAUGGUUGUCGUCAGCUCGUGUCGUGAGAUGUUGGGUUAAGUCCCGCAACGAGCGCAACCCUCGUUCUAUGUUGCCAGCACGUGAUGGUGGGAACUCAUAGGAGACUGCCGGGGUCAACUCGGAGGAAGGUGGGGAUGACGUCAAAUCAUCAUGCCCUUUAUGUCUUGGGCUUCACGCAUGCUACAAUGGCUGGUACAGAGAGAUGCGAGACCGUGAGGUUUUAGCGAAUCCCUUAAAGCCAGUCUCAGUUCGGAUCGUAGUCUGCAAUUCGACUACGUGAAGUCGGAGUCGCUAGUAAUCGCAGAUCAGCAACGCUGCGGUGAAUACGUUCCCGGGCCU